rnacentral:rRNA from 1 species
CACGUAGGGUGCGAGCGUUGUCCGGAAUUAUUGGGCGUAAAGAGCUCGUAGGCGGUGUGUCGCGUCGGCCGUGAAACCUGCAGCUUAACUGUGGGCUUGCGGUCGAUACGGGCAUCACUGGAGUUCGGCAGGGGAGACUGGAAUUCCUGGUGUAGCGGUGAAAUGCGUAGAUAUCGAGAGGAACACCUGCGGCGAAGGCGGGUUGCUGGGCUGAUACUGACGCUGAGGCGCGAAAGCCAGGGGAGCGAACGGG